rnacentral:misc_RNA from 1 species
UCCGGUUUGGCACCGGCAGUCCCCCUAGAGUGCCCGGCUCUCCCGCUGGUAACUAGGGGCGGGGGUUGCGCUCGUUGCGGGACUUAACCCAACAUCUCACGACACGAGCUGACGACAGCCAUGCAGCACCUGUGCUUAAGCUCCGAAGAGGGGGCCCCGUUUCUGGGGCCUUACUUAAGCAUGUCAAGCCCAGGUAAGGUUCUUCGCGUUGCGUCGAAUUAAACCACAUGCUCCACCGCUUGUGCGGGCCCCCGUCAAUUCCUUUGAGUUUCAGCCUUGCGGCCGUACUCCCCAGGCGGGGCACUUAAUGCGUUAGCGCCGGCACCCCGGGGGUCGCUCCCCGGGGCACCUAGUGCCCAUCGUUUACGGCGUGGACUAC